rnacentral:rRNA from 1 species
GACGAACGCUGGCGGCGUGCUUAACACAUGCAAGUCGAACGGAAAGGCCCUGCUUUUGUGGGGUGCUCGAGUGGCGAACGGGUGAGUAACACGUGAGUAACCUGCCCUUGACUUUGGGAUAACUUCAGGAAACUGGGGCUAAUACCGGAUAGGAGCUCCUGCUGCAUGGUGGGGGUUGGAAAGUUUCGGCGGUUGGGGAUGGACUCGCGGCUUAUCAGCUUGUUGGUGGGGUAGUGGCUUACCAAGGCUUUGACGGGUAGCCGGCCUGAGAGGGUGACCGGCCACAUUGGGACUGAGAUACGGCCCAGACUCCUACGGGAGGCAGCAGUGGGGAAUAUUGCACAAUGGGCGGAAGCCUGAUGCAGCAACGCCGCGUGCGGGAUGACGGCCUUCGGGUUGUAAACCGCUUUCGCCUGUGACGAAGCGUGAGUGACGGUAAUGGGUAAAGAAGCACCGGCUAACUACGUGCCAGCAGCCGCGGUGAUACGUAGGGUGCGAGCGUUGUCCGGAUUUAUUGGGCGUAAAGGGCUCGUAGGUGGUUGAUCGCGUCGGAAGUGUAGUCUUGGGGCUUAACCCUGAGCGUGCUUUCGAUACGGGUUGACUUGAGGAAAGGUAGGGGAGAAUGGAAUUCCUGGUGGAGCGGUGGAAUGCGCAGAUAUCAGGAGGAACACCAGUGGCGAAGGCGGUUCUCUGGGCCUUUCCUGACGCUGAGGAGCGAAAGCGUGGGGAGCGAACAGGCUUAGAUACCCUGGUAGUCCACGCUGUAAACGGUGGGUACUAGGUGUGGGGUCCAUUCCACGGGUUCCGUGCCGUAGCUAACGCUUUAAGUACCCCGCCUGGGGAGUACGGCCGCAAGGCUAAAACUCAAAGGAAUUGACGGGGCCCCGCACAAGCGGCGGAGCAUGCGGAUUAAUUCGAUGCAACGCGUAGAACCUUACCUGGGUUUGACAUGGAUCGGGAGUGCUCAGAGAUGGGUGUGCCUCUUUUGGGGUCGGUUCACAGGUGGUGCAUGGCUGUCGUCAGCUCGUGUCGUGAGAUGUUGGGUUAAGUCCCGCAACGAGCGCAACCCUUGUUCACUGUUGCCAGCACGUUAUGGUGGGGACUCAGUGGAGACCGCCGGGGUCAACUCGGAGGAAGGUGGGGAUGACGUCAAGUCAUCAUGCCCCUUAUGUCCAGGGCUUCACGCAUGCUACAAUGGCUGGUACAGAGAGUGGCGAGCCUGUGAGGGUGAGCGAAUCUCGGAAAGCCGGUCUCAGUUCGGAUUGGGGUCUGCAACUCGACCUCAUGAAGUCGGAGUCGCUAGUAAUCGCAGAUCAGCAACGCUGCGGUGAAUACGUUCCCGGGGCU